rnacentral:sRNA from 1 species
CUUGGUCAUUUAGAGGAAGUAAAAGUCGUAACAAGGUAUCUGUAGGUGAACCUGCAGAUGGAUCAUUUUGAUGAAAAACCUUUUUUUUCUGAGGUGUGGCUCGCACCUGUCCAACUAAACCUGAGCUACCUUUUUUAUAUAACACGGUUGCAUCGGUCGGUCUGUCGAAACCAGUAGCGCUCAUAGCGAGCAGCGUCUGGGGAAAGACGGGUCGGCGCUUCUUACCAACACUUUUGAACACUAGGAUUGGAAGGACAAAAAUCAUUUUUUUGAUGAUGGAAGCGACUGGUAAUGCGGUCGUCUAAAUUGAAAAAACAACUUUUGGCAACGGAUCUCUUGGUUCUCCCAUCGAUGAAGAACGCAGCGAAUUGCGAUAAGUAAUGUGAAUUGCAGAAGUGAAUCAUCGAAUCUUUGAACGCACCUUGCGCUCCCGGCAGAUUUAAUCUGGGGAGCAUGCCUGUUUGAGGGCCGCGAAUUGUUUCGAACGACAGCUUUUUUUUCUUGUUGAGAAAGAGCUGGCGGAUCGGUAGUGAGGGUCUCUGCCAUUUACCGUGGCUCCCUCGAAAUGCAUUAGCGCAUCCAUUGGAAGGCGGAAAGACGGACGAAAGCUCGAGUUUUUUUGCCCUCGCUUCCCUGCCGGGUUUUGAUAAUGUCAGGACUUCGGAGGCGAAGAGAGGGCGAGAGCUGGACGCAACGACUUUUCUGCUGUUUGGCGUGCUUCUGAACCCCGCCCAUGCCUCUGCUUUAACCACAGAGGAAGGGAUUUAUUUUUCAAUUCAUCGGCCUCAGAUUGGUAGGACUACCCGCUGAACUUAAGCAUAUCAAUAAGCGGAGGAAAAGAAACUAACAAGGAUUCCCCUAGUAACGGCGAGUGAAGAGGGAAGAGCCCAAGAUUGAAAGCUGGCGUCUUCGGCGUCCGCAUUGUAAUCUCAAGAAGUGUUUUCCGCUUCGGACCAUGCCUAAGUCCCUUGGAAAAGGGCAUCAUAGAGGGUGAUAAUCCCGUACAUGGCAUGGAGCGCCCGUAGCUUUGUGAUACGCUUUCUAAGAGUCGAGUUGUUUGGGAAU